AGUGAACGCUGGCGGUAGGCCUAACACAUGCAAGUCGAACGGCAGCACAGUAAGAGCUUGCUCUUACGGGUGGCGAGUGGCGGACGGGUGAGGAAUACAUCGGAAUCUACUUUUUCGUGGGGGAUAACGUAGGGAAACUUACGCUCAUACCGCAUACGACCUACGGUUGAAAGCAGGGGAUCUUCGUACCUUGCGCGAUUGAAUGAGCCGGUGUCGGAUGAGCUAGUUGGCGGGGUAAAGGCCCACCAAGGCGACGAUCCGUAGCUGGUCUGAGAGGAUGAGCAGCCACACUGGAACUGAGGCACGGUCCAGACUCCUACGGGAGGCAGCAGUGGGGAAGAUUGGACAAUGGGCGCAAGCCUGAUCCAGCCAGACCGCGUGAGUGAAGAAGGCCUUCGGGUUGUAAAGCCCUUUUGUUGGGAAAGAAAAGCAGCAGGUUAAUACCCCGCUGUUCUGACGGUACCCAAAGAAUAAGCACCGGCUAACUUCGUG
rnacentral:rRNA from 1 species